CAAGCGCCUGUCUCUUUAAAUGCCACGGGCUGCGCUCCCGCCCGGCAGCCCGGAGCCGGAUCUACAAUCCCCUCCCUCCCGCCCCGGCGCUUGUUGCUCGCCCGGCCCGAGCGGGAGCUGCCGCCGCCUGGCAGCGAGGCUGCCGCGCUCUCCUGCUCGCGCCCCACCUCCCCCAGAGCCGGCCGAGGGGGGCAGCCGCCCCGGCCGGAGGGAGGGGACGCGGUGUGAACGGGAAUUGCCCCCACCUUCAAGUCUUGGGGUGCACCGCAGCCGCUGGGGGAAGAUAUGCGUCGCUCCCCCUUGCCCAGCCUUGCUGCCGCUGGCGCCGGGAGAGGAGGGACUGCGGAGCCCUCACCUGCAAACUCGCCCUAGAACUCUCGGGGUGCGGCGGGGGCCCCUCCUCAAUCCCCACGGCCUUCACCUCUCAGCGGGCGAGUUUGCUCAGGUGGCCUCAGCCCCUGUACGGGGACCUGUGCCAAUGACCCCAGUGGUGGUUUCGCUUUCUCCUCUCGCGGCGGUGUGAACGUGUGUCCGCAACGUGAUGGGCAACCAGGUGGAGAAACUGACCCACCUAAGUUACAAGGAAGUUCCCACCGCCGACCCGACUGGCGUGGACCGGGACGACGGGCCCCGCAUUGGGGUCUCCUACAUCUUCUCCAAUGACGAUGAGGACGUGGAGCCGCAGCCUCCUCCCCAAGGGCCCAAUGGCGGCAGCUUGCCCGACGGUGGGGAUGGCCCUCCGCUCCCCCAGCCGCAGCCCUACGACCCGCGGCUGCACGAGGUGGAAUGCUCCGUGUUCUACCGUGACGAGUGCAUAUACCAGAAGAGCUUCGCGCCAGGCUCGGCGGCGCUGAGCACCUACACCCCCGAGAACCUACUCAACAAGUGCAAGCCAGGCGACCUGGUGGAGUUCGUGUCGCAGGCGCAGUACCCGCAUUGGGCAGUGUACGUGGGCAACUUCCAGGUGGUGCACUUGCACCGGCUGGAGGUGAGCAACAGCUUCCUGACAGACGCAAGCCAGGGCCGUCGCGGACGCGUGGUCAACGAUCUGUACCGCUACAAGCCGCUGAGCCCCAGCGCGGUGGUGCGCAACGCGCUGGCGCACGUGGGCGCCAAGGAGCGCGAGCUGAGCUGGCGCAACUCGGAGAGCUUCGCCGCCUGGUGCCGCUAUGGCAAGCGCGAGUUCAAGAUCGGCGGUGAACUGCGCAUUGGCAAGCAGCCCUAUCGGCUGCAGAUUCAACUCUCGGCGCAGCGCAGCCACACGCUGGAGUUCCAGAGCCUAGAGGACCUGAUCAUGGAGAAGCGGCGCAACGACCAGAUCGGCCGCGCGGCCGUGCUGCAGGAGCUUGCCAUGCACCUGCACCCGGCCGAGCCAGACGAGGGCGACAGCAACCUGGCUCGGACUACGCCGCCUCCCGGGCGCCCCCCUGCGCCCAGCUCUGCGGAGGAGGACGGAGAGGCGGUGGCACACUGACCCGCGCGCGAGCUGAUGGCAGAGCUGCGAAAGGGGCUGUUUGCAGCAGCCGCCGCUGCCCCCUUCCUCCCUUUCUCCCCUCCUUCCUUCGCUUCUCCGCCACCUACUGGGCCCCAUCUGGGAUUCCUGGGCCCUUUGGAAAACGGAGAGUUGAUGAAACGCGCAGCUGGCUGUGGACAGGGGUGGAGGAAGGGGGCAGAGGGAUCAGGUUUGAAGAAAUAUCAUAAAUAAUGGUAUAUACACAUACAUGCCAACAAGCCAAGUGCAUCAUUUCAUCUGAAUUGUUUUGGUUUCUCCCCAUCAUGACAACCUAAGAGGUGAAGCUCUGGCUAUUGAUGUCACCAUAAAGGUCGUAUUCUAACACUGUCUUUGGAGAAGUUAUUUGUCACAAGGAAUGGUCUUGAUUAGGCCCAUUCACUGGGCUCUGAGCAGGAGCAGAACAGCCCACAGGAAGUGUGUUGUUCGUGUGAUUGCAUUGAUGGAUCCAGAGAGGCAGCCACUGGGCCAUAAGUCAGUUAUGCUCCUGCAGUGGAGACAUGAGUGUUCCAGCAACCUAUUAGUGCAAUCCCUGGGUCCUGUGCAUCCUGCCAGCCACUGCAUUGAGAAUUGACCACAGAGAACUGAAGGUAGAAGCGAGCAGACCAUUAGGAAGUGACUGCAAUCAUCUAGCAAGAGAUUGUGGUGACUCAAACAAGGUUUCCAACCAUUAAAGGCAUUUAUUUGAACAUUCAAGGGAGAUGUCCAAACAUGUAAACCACCCUAUGAAGUAGGUACUACUAUGAUCCCCAUUUUGCAGAGAAGGAACCAGUAAACGAGAGGUUAAGUAACUUGUCCUUGAUCAUCCAGCUGUUAAAGUGGUGUAGCUUGGAUUCCAAUAAUACACGUGGAUGUCUUUCUAAAAUGUCUCAUCAGAUCCUGUCUCCUGGGAUGGCAUCUCUUGGUCUCCUUCUCUAAUGAUUGCCUUGACCCGGCUCUCGGAUAAAGAAAUUUUCUGCAUUGAUGUGAGGUCUUGAGACAGAGCUUUUCUUAUGCAGUUGGAGGAAUUAUUAAUUAAUGGAUUCAGAGUUCCAGCUGGGGAUGAUGGAGCAUAGUGAUGGUUGCACAACAAUGUGAAUGUACCUAAUUUAAUGACACUAAACUAUAUACAGAAAGUUGGAUAAAAUGGUAAAUUUUAUGUUAUAUAUAGUUUACCACAAUUUAAAAAAUAAACCAAAGACAGAGCAAUAAACAAACAACAGGAAAAGGAGACUCCAUGUCACUUUCUGAGAAUACAUGCUUUGCGAAGGAAGAGGUUUUGUCUGUUCUGUUUGCUGUUCAGGACAGUGCCUGGCAAAUAUAGGUGCUUAAUGAAUAGCUUUUGAAUGAAGAAAUGAAUAAUCCUCACCGCAAUCAUCCCUAGGGGCUUGGCUCUAUUUUUAUACCUAUUUUAAGAAUGUGAAAACUGAGGCUGAGCAAAAUGGAGCAAGGUACCUGGAGCCUUCCACUAGCAGGAGGCAGAGCCUAGUCGCAUGAUAGUGAAAUGGUUAUGGAGUUUGGAAAGCCCACCACUGAGUAUGAUAGCAGCAGUAGAGGCUGAUAAUUACUCACAUGGACUCAGGAGCCAGUCUUCUUCAGUUCAGUGCCCAGCUCUGCUGUUUGACCUUGGGCAAAGUAUUUCACCUCUCUCGGCAUCAGCAUUCCCCAUCUGACAGUGGGAGAUGAUAAUAACACUGCAAUUACACCAUAAGGUGUCUAUGAGGAUUAAAUGAAUUAAUACAGGGACAAUACUUAGAACAGUGUAGCGAGUGCUAUUAUAAAUAUUACAGAUUAUUAUAUUUUAUUUUUUCUUUAACUUGGAACUCAUAUACACCUGGCUGUCAUCCUCUGCUUCUACACAGUGGUGUUUUGCAUUUUCCAAAUGUGUCCAAACCUUGACAAUGUAUUUGUUUACACAUAUAUUUAGCUAAUGUGUGUGGGUGUGUAUGAAAUUACCCAUUAUGCAAAUGGCUUUGGUUUAGUAAGCAGAAUAUGCCUGGAUACGGUUAAUGGAAAAUUGUUUUGUGUAACUUGGAAAACAGAAGAAUCAUAAAAGAAUCCUCUGGAGAGACAAUCUGAUGAAGGUGUAACCAAUACAUUUGCAGAUUUUUGUUUUUAAAUAAUAACCAGCCACUAAUGGCCCAGAGCAGAACAUUGAUUUAUGUGCAACAAGGUGGGCUGUGUUUCUCUGCCACGUUGCUGGCUGUGGUCCUAGGUAUUAAGCUGCCUUUUUAAAACCCAAGAUCUGUCAAUCCAGCUUUCAAGAAGGAAGCUUUGAAAUAGUGAGGAGGCUUUGUCAUUUGCAUGGAUGGGAUCUGGAAGAUUUUUUUGUGCUUUGUUUGGUAGGCACCCUUUACAUUUUGCUGAGCUAGAAUCUUGCCCGUUAUACAUUGUGCAGUCAAAUGCCUUGGCAGACUGGUGAGGCUCUGAAACUCUUUUAGAGAGAAGGCUCUUGGAGUUGGUCCUUCCUCGGGUGCCCUCUGGUGCCUCAGGGAGACGUGUCUUUGAUCUCUGCAAAUCUCCCUCCAGUCUGGACAUACUGGCCCCUCCAUGCUGGCUGAGAACAGACAGCAUUAUCCAGUGUAAGUAGAUCUAGUGGAACAAAUCCCUGAGGAAACUUUUUAAAAAAUGCCUGCAAGGCAAUAUCAAAACCAAAGCUUUUCCCCAGAAUCUUCAUUUUCCAAAAAACUAAACUUGCUUGGUAUACAGAUGUCAGAAGAUAUUCUUAGUUAAGCCUAAAUGGAAAAAUCUUCCACCCAUUCGUUCAUUCAUUCAUUUAUUUACUUAUGCACUCUACAUUAUUUAUCGUGGGCCCACUGCUAGGUAUUUUGCUAGGCAGCAGAGGGGCAAGGUAAGUAUACAGCUAUUAACUAUGACAAAAGUACUUUCAUCAUUAUUUUCGUUAUGAAAGCUGAGAUUUAAAAGCAGUCUCCCAAAAGAAUCCUCACAUCUCUAUUCCACAAAUCCACGUUAAGUAUAUAUUCAACACACCCACAUUAACCCACAUUUUGCUGGAAGUUGCACCAAACAUUAGGAGUAUAUGGAUGUGUUCCCCAAAUCUUAAUGAGAGGAGAGAGAGUUAUACCAAAAUAGGCAUAAUGUACAUAUUUAAAGCUAUCUUCUAAUGAGUCCAUUGUAAUUUUAAGGUGCUCCCUCCCUCAGUUGUCCAGCCCUCAUCCCCAGGACUGUGAAUAAAAUGUGGUAUCACACUUGUGGUUAUGCACAUUUCAUGGCAAAAGGGAUGUUGCAUGUGUAGUUAAGGAUACUAAACAGUUGACUUUGAGUUAGUCUAAAGAGCGAUUAUCCUGUUGGACACCAAGCUUACCACUUUAAAAGGAGAAUUCCUCUAUCUGGGAGUAGAAGAGGAGUUCAUAGGGGAAGGCUUUGAUUUAAGCGAGGUUUUCUGUUGCUGAGAUGGAGAGAAUCACAGAGCAAGGACCUGAGAGCAGUCUCUAGAUGUUGAGUGUGGUGCAUAGCACCACAGCCAGCAAGAAAACAGGGACCUCAAUCCUGCAACCCAAGGAAUUAAAGUCUUCCAACAGCCUACAUGGAGCUUUGAAGCAGCUCCUUUCCCAGAGUCACCAGAGAAGAAUCCACCCGCCUUGAUGCUUAGACAUCAGACUUGUGAUUCUCUAAACAAAGAACCUGGUUGAACCUGCCUGGACUUGGGACCUUCAGACUAUGAGACUACAAAUAGGAAUUCUUUUAAGCUGCUAAGUUUCUUGUUAUUGAUUGUGCAGCAAUAAAAAAAAUGAAUAUGUCAUCUUUGGUUAUUCUGCAUUUUUGUAGAUAGUUUGUAGUUAAGUUGUCUUAAAACUUGAAUGGAUGCUAAGAGACCUAUGUGGUUCUUUAAAUUGAUAACAAAAUGACCUGCUUAUAUUUGUACAACCCCAUUUACAAGUGCUUUUGCAUACAAUUUUCUUAUUUGAUUUUCACAGCUUUUGGGGAAUCUGUAUACCAGUUAAAGAUGAAGAAACUGAAAACUGAGGAUAGAUGCGCUAUGAUGUGCUGACUAACCAUCCGGGAGUCUUGAAGAGUAGAAGUAAAAAAGUGCAAGAGUGAAUUAAAUUUGAAAUUUGAGCAGCAAUUCUGCCAUCAUCAUUUAAUCAGAAAAUUUAGGGUUAAUGUGGGAGGGCCUAACCCAUCUUUUGGUUUCUGUUGCAAUCUGCCCCUACACAAACUGUUAUCAUGGGAAUAGAAUCACGUGGGCGUGACAUCCCCUCCCAUCCAGAGCAUCCUAUGCACAGAUGAGGCUCUAAGGAGUUAUGGGAGGGCCUGAGAAAGGAUAUUUUCUGACCUGGGUCAUUUCUGGAAAGCCUGCUUCUGGAGGGUUUAGAGGCUGCUAACUGUUGGAGCUUGUCUUGAAGCCACAUUUUUAUGGAAGGCCUGCUGUUUGCAUUUAGAUUACAGCAAUACGUGGGGUGGGUGAGGGACAACUGCCCCUUCGUACCCCCAGCUCAGCCAUCACUCUGUGCAUCAUUGUUGAUAAGCCACUGUCUCCUUGCCUGUGUAUCUGAGGACACUCUUGGUGUGCGGUCCCCACAGCUACUUUUUUGAGCCAGUUGGAAGGAACCUGGAGCCAGUAGCUUUUGCCCUAUUUGGUUGAUACGAAAAGCAAGGCCAGUCAACCAGAGACUCCUAGUUACAGAUGGAAUCGAUGAUGGAAACGGAGAGAGUACUGACGAGUUCUCCGUGUUUGGUAUACAUGUGAUGAGGGGAAAAAAAGCCCAAAUUUAAAAAAAAAAAAAUCCAUUAUGCCUAUUUCUUUUCUAUCAAAAACAGAUUAAAAAAAAAUCAAAGUCCCAUCUGCUCUGUGUCAACAUUAGAGAUCGUACAUUGUGUUUUAUCAAAGGCAGGUUUGCCAUGGCGGCGGGGGUUGUAUUUUUGAAACGUGCUUGGAAACCCAGAGCAGCUGAAAACAGAGCUUGGCACCUCUAGGCCUUUUCCCGCUGCCCCUGUUUGUGUUCCUCCAGCGCUUGAUGUUUUUAAUUGAUUUGUUUGACCAGACGUCCCUGGAAAAAGACAAGCAGGUAAGGGCAGCCGGAGCCUCUGGGACAAACACAGGGAAGGGCUCAAGGCUUUCAGCACAACAGGGCAGUUUUCUUGAAAGAAUCUGUUCUCUGAGCACACAGCAAUGGCCACUCGCCCUGCAAUCCCAGGCAUUCACAUUGAGGGCCGUUGGCUAAAUCUGUUCAUGAGCUAUGCCAGGGUAGAGAUCCAGUCCUGGAGCCUCCUUUCUGUUCUCCUUCAUUUGCUCUGCAGGGCCACCCUCGGUAUCGACUGGACAGCUGGUAAGCGCAGGCAGGCUUGCUCCUAAUUGCUUGGCUUCCAGGCCAGAAGGGAAAAAAGCAGACAAAGCCACCUACCACUGCACUCUGGCUGCUCUCCCUCCCUGCCAUGACCACUGUUUCCAAUGUCCCUCCCACACUGCUCUAGUUACUCUGAGGAUAAAACAUGGUGCUAUGUGAUGAUGAAAAGAAAAAGGCUCCUGUCCCAUUCACAGCCUUCAAUAGUUGUUGCUUUCUGAAUGCAUAUUGCUGCUAGUGGGAUCAUAUUGCUGCUCCUGAAAAACAAUGCUGGCCUCUUCUUUAACUAGAGGUAGUGAAAAUAGUCCUGAAGGAGAUCUCUGUUCAGGGGAGAGUCAUCGAAUGACUCCUUCAGUUGCAUACAUUUAGAAUGAACAGGUAUCCAUGAGGAGUAGCAGUGAUUGAGAAGGGUACGAUCUUGGUCAAGGUGUUAAUCACCCGGAUGACUGCCAUGCAAAACUCAUGGGAGGGCCAGUCUGCAAUAAGAGUCCAAGGAUAAAAGGAAGCUAGGAAGAUGGGCCAGGAUAGAGACCAGGGUGGUCUAGCCAAAGCCUAGUGAUAAAAGAAAUAAAAAAGACCCCCCACAUAGUUGCUUAGGUAGGUGGCCCAGGCUCACAGAAGCACUCUUAAGUACAGGGAGAUGGGAAGAGUGGGUUUUGGCAAAGUAAUAGCUGAAGCGGCACCAGGGCACACUGGGUAACCUUUGGAGCUAAGUGGCUGAGCUUGUAGCUCAACAUGGAGCUUCUCUGUGCUCUGGCCAGUGACCUAGAUCAAAAAGGUCAUCUCAGUAGCAGUGGACAUGCAUCAACCAUCAAGUUAUGCAGAGCACAACAUGGCAGCAAGAAGAAAUGACUGUUGACAGAUGAAACCGCAAUUUUUUUCUUUCCUUGCUAUUUAGAAGCAGAAGCAAAACUACCUCACUCCCCUCCUGUCCCCUUUAGAUACAAUGGACAUGCUGAUACACUUCUACAACAAUUGCUGGGGAGACCUCAAGUCUUUGUCUUUUUGCUAAUAGGCUAGGUGAAUAUUCUUUUGAUUAUUUGGAAAAAUGAAAGAGCUGUAACCAUAUUUGGAAGUCACAUUGAAGUAGGCAUAUUUUAUAGUUUCACCUCACAUACUCUGAGCUUGAAAGUGAAAUUUAUAGCUGCAUUUUAAGAGUUAUUUUAGGAAAAAAAAUGCCGUCUUUUGCCUUUUCUAAUUGAAAUCUCAUCUUCUCUAUCCCCAAAAUAUUUUGUACUGGGGAAAGUGUAUUCUGAGAUAUUUCUGACCCCAAAGAGAAUAGGUAUGAAAAUCGGAGCGAGCCACGUCUUUCAAAGGACAUUUUUGUGGGGAUUGGUUCCAAAGCCUAGUUGUCAUCUAAAGAAUGUACUGACUGUUGCUACAUUCCUGGAAUUCCUCAAGAGACUUAAGCUGGAGACCCUCCACUAGAGAUCACAGUUCUCAGGGCAGAGCUAAGACCCAGGCUUCUGGGAGGAAAAUCGUGGCUGUGGGGAUUAAAGGGACCCUCAUUAAGUUUGCAUUACUGAAAGUGAUUUAACUUGAAGUUAUAUUGAAUCAGACCACCACUGCUAAAUGGGUGCAAUGGAAUGUUCCUUGGUGCCACUUUAUGGCAUUGGUGGGGUGGGGGAUGGGUAGGGCAGUGCAGCGCUGAAUAGUCCGCAUUUCAUUGUAUGGUCAGUGAACUCUUGGUGUGUUCAUGUUGGAACCAAGGCUGUAGUGGGCUUGAUGUGGUUUGGUAAAUGUUUUCUGUGGGCUAUAAUUAUCGAUUCUUCAGGAGAACAAUGCCCUUUUUAAUUAUAAUUUUCAAUCCCUAGUGCUUAGUAUUAAGUGUUUAUCAAAUGAAAGAAAGAAUGAAUGAAUAUUGAUUAUUCAGUCAGGGUUUCAGUCCAUGCUACAUCAUAUUGACUUUAGUUAUUCCGAUGUCAUUACUCUGAUAGUGAGUCUUAACUUUUUUUUUAUCUUCCUCACUUGUGAUGAUCUAUUUUACAUAUCAGUUUUUCCAGACUAGCCUUCUUAAGGAGAAGAGUUAUAGCCACGUCUUGUUCGGCUCAAUAGCUUAAUGUUCAGCAACUGGCCACGUUUGCUACAGUUCACGGUAAGAACAUGGACUCUGGAGCUAGAUUGCCCAGGACUGCAUCUUGAUUCCUUGAUUUCCUAGCUGUGUGAUCUCAGGCAAACUGUCUGUGUCUCAGAAUAAAAUUAGAUAAUGUUAUCAAACAACAUAGAGUUGGUUGGGAAUUAAAUGACAAAUACAUUUAAAAUGCUUGAGACAGUGAUAUAUGCUCAGCAAAUAUUAACAAUGACUAUUUUCCUUAUUAUCAUUGUUGAUAAUAUACAUUUGUCAAAUAAACACAAAUGCUUUAUCUCAUUGAACCUGUUUUCUUGUCUAUAAUAUAGGGCUAUAAUGUAAUAACAAUAAUACUCUGAAGGGCUGUUAUGAGGAUCAAAUGAGUCAAAAUGAAACAAAAAGAAUCAAAAUGUCUUUUUGAACACCUUCAAGGAGAUUACAACUCUCUGGUACCAUUAUUUCUAAUAUGAACUGUAGCAUAGAAAGAAGUGAUUUUUGUAUAUUUCCACAGUAUGAAUGAGGCAGGGCUGGGCUGGAAUAUUCUUGGUUCUUCUCUGAGUGCCCAAAGUACUGCUUAGCUGUGAUGUAAAUGCUAAGGGCCUCUGGGAUUACGGUGCUUUUUUCAGUAUUUACACUAAGGUACAGCCACGGGUCCUUCAGCAAAGCACUGUUUUCAUUGAAGCUGCCCUGGUUUUACUGUCCUUAGCCUUGCCCCCCUUAUCCAAAUGUCUGACAACUCUCAGAGCUGCCCUGGUUCUUGAGAAGCAAGACGUGAAUAGUCAGCUCUUUAUUUGCAGACUGGAUGUUCUAUGCACAGAUUUUAUCAGGUGCUAUUGAGAACCCAGAAAAACCACACAAAAGCAUAGACUAGGAGUCAGAACACAUGAAAUGAAGGCAUCAUAUUUACCAUUAACAAAUCCUGGUGCCCUGGAUAAGCCUACGGAUAUUAUUUGGGAUUCGGUUUCCAUAUCUACAAGGUAAAAGCAGUUAGAUCAUUUCUAAGAUUCCUGCCUUAGGAGUCAUGAGUCCUUUGUUCUACUGGUGCCUCUGCUGUUCUCUUGCACCGUGACUUUGACUUUGGUCCGAUCACAGCUUCUCUUUGAUCCAUAGUGUCCUCAUUUGCACAGCGUUGUUUCCCUCCUACUAUGCUAGUCACUGCUCCAUUUAAUCACAACACUCACAUACACACACUCACACAGACAUAGGCACACACUAAGUGUCAAUGCUUAUUGUGUGCAAAAACCUAUAGCUCAGAGCUUGGUGUGCAUGUUUUAAUGUAACCUUUAAUAACAGCUUUAUGAGGAAGGAAUUUUUGUCCUAAUUUUACAGAUGGGAGAACUGUGAAAGCU